CGAGCUGGCGGCGUGCCUAAUACAUGCAGUCGAGCGGAAUGACGAGAGCUUGCUCUCUGAUUUUAGCGGCGGACGGGUGAGUAACACGUGGGCAACCUGCCCUACAGAUGGGGAUAACUCCGGGAAACCGGGGCUAAUACCGAAUAAUCAGUCUGUCCGCAUGGACAAACUCUGAAAGACGGUUUCGGCUGUCACUGUAGGAUGGGCCCGCGGCGCAUUAGCUAGUUGGUGGGGUAAUGGCCUACCAAGGCAACGAUGCGUAGCCGACCUGAGAGGGUGAUCGGCCACACUGGGACUGAGACACGGCCCAGACUCCUACGGGAGGCAGCAGUAGGGAAUCUUCCACAAUGGACGAAAGUCUGAUGGAGCAAUGCCGCGUGAGCGAAGAAGGUUUUCGGAUCGUAAAGCUCUGUUGUAAGGGAAGAACACGUAUGGGAGUAACUGCCCGUGCCAUGACGGUACCUUAUUAGAAAGCCACGGCUAACUACGUGCCAGCAGCCGCGGUAAU
rnacentral:rRNA from 1 species